ACCACUGUUGCUAAAUAACUAUGAAUUAACUAUAACUAUGAAACAUGGUUUGAUUUUAUGAUAAGAUUCACUGUAAUAAAGUAAUUAGAUCUUUAACAUGUAACAGUUUUAUGUGCAGAAACUGAAAACUCUCCCCGUCUCAGACUCACAAAUCCUGCUGGAAAGAUCUCACUUAGAGAAAAACUCUGAGAUUUUAGAUUUCUACUUUAACUAUUUGCAAUUUUUGUAAAGCUUUCAUUUGUUGUAUGGAUAUUAUUGCAUCAGGAACUACUUUGUCACUUUCUGGAACAUGUUUUUAUUUUUUGUUAAUACGAUUGUUCUGUUCUUUAGACAGACAGACGAACAUGAGCUGCUGCGCCAUCACAUCACUUUAUUCCACUCCCCAGUAACCAAACAUACACACGUGACUGUGGAUGUCAUUCUAUCAGAUGACCACUAGAUGUCCUCAUGACCUCAUAUAUGUAUAACAUAUACAAUAUGUUACAUCCCCCUUCUUAAGUAUUUUUACAAUUCUUCCAGACCUUGUACGAUCAGUGACGUACAUGUCGAUUGUUUCUGCAGGCCCUUGGGAUCUCGUGAAAAAGACGUGUCUGAUGUACGGUAGGUUUUUUCGAGGCUCACAGUAAUUUUUAAACCUGUCUUUUAGUACAUGUAUUUUAUUUAUCUCCUCUUCUGAGAACUCAAAUGUAUUACAUACUUUUAUGGCCUCUUCCCCCGCCACGUGCAGAAAUGUAGCCCACUGCACCGUCUCAGACUUCUCUGCUACUCCGCUAGCUAGCGAGAAAAGUUCGAACCUCUGUAUCCAGUUCUUCCAAUUUUCCGCGAGGUUACCCUGCAGAAUCAACGGCGGUGGUGGCUGUAACUGUGCCGUCCUCUUUUCCUGCGUUUAUAUCAGUUUUAUUCUGACACCAUGUUCUGUUCUUUAGACAGACAGACGAACAUGAGCUGCUGCGCCAUCACAUCACUUUAUUCCACUCCCCAGUAACCAAACAUACACACGUGACUGUGGAUGUCAUUCUAUCAGAUGACCACUAGAUGUCCUCAUGACCUCAUAUAUGUAUAACAUAUACAAUA